GGGCCAAGAUUGAUCCCGUUUUGGUGCUUGAUGCCAAAGGGGGAGAAAAUAAAGGCCAAAGCAAUAAAUGGAUCAGCUACCACUUGAGAAAUUUUGAAAAAGUAUAAUAGAGCUUUUGGUUUGUCAAAACUCUUGUAUUAUCUCUUUUGUCAAAAGUUGGCUUCUUGUGGGGAGAAAUGUUGAUUAUGGGAAAAAGGGGGAGUUUUUGAAAUCCGUGGUCAAAUUCUUUGGAAUGACUCUCUUUAUGCUUCAAUAUGUGUGUUUGACUUAGAGAUAGAGAUUUGAGUUUGAUUUGCAAAAACAAACCAAGUGGUGGCAAAGGAUGAUCCAUAUAUGCCAAAAUUGAAUCAAAACCAAUUUGAGUUUUUAUUUGAAGUGAUUUUGCACUUGUUCUAGUUGCCUUAUGUUGUGUUGGCAUAAAUCACCAAAAAGGGGGAGAUUGAAAGGGAAAUGUGCCCUUGGGCCAUUUCUAAGUAUUUUGGUGAUUGAGUGUCAACACAAGUGCUUAAAUGUGAAUCAAUACCCAUGGAUGAACAAAGUGCAAAUCUUCAACAAAGGUAUGUUUCUAAGUCUUAGUACAUUGGUUUUGUGUACUAAUAUAUUUGUCUAAGUAUUAGAAACAGAUAGAAGAAGAGAAGAGAAGACUUGGCUGUGUACAGCCAAGGGGCUGUUUCGGUCUGGGGCACCGGACUGUCCGGUGGUGCACCGGACAGUGUCCGGUGGUGCACCGGACAGUGUCCGGUGGUGCACCGGACAGUGUCCGGUGCGCCAGGCUCCCUCGGCCGAAGAGCCCGCUCUCGGGUUUUUCUCCGGCGACUUCGGCUAAAAUUCACCGGACUGUCCGGUGUACACCGGACUGUCCAGUGAGCCAACGGUCGGCCGGGCCAACGGUCGGCCGCGCGAUCGGCGCGCGACACGUGGCCGAGCCAACGGUCGGAAGGAAGCACCGGACUGUCCGGUGUGCACCGGACUGUCCGGUGCGCCAGAUCUGCAACGGUCGGCAACGGUCGGCUUCGCCAUUUAAGAAAAUAAAUCGGGCACUGGACAGUGUCCGGUGUGCACCGGACUGUCCGGUGCGCCCGACGACAGAAGGCAAGGAUAGCCUUCCAGAUGUGUUCUCAACGGCUCCUAGCUGCCUUGGGGCUAUAAAAGGGACCCCUAGGCGCAUGGAGGAGUACACCAAGCAUUCCUUGAGCACUCUUGAUCACUCACACAUCAAUCUUGCACACUUGUUCGACAUUCUAGUGAUUUGAGCUCCGUUCUAGUGUGCUAGUCUCUUGAGCUCAAGUCUGGGUCUUGUGUGUGCGUAUUUGCUGUGAUCUUUGUGUCGUGUGUGAGUUGCUAAUCCCUCCCUUGCUCCGUGAUUCUCUGUGAACAUCUUUUGUAAGGGCGAGAGGCUCCAAGUUGUGGAGAUUCCUCGCAAACGGGAUUGAGAAAAGAAAAGCAAGAACACCGUGGUAUUCAAGUUGAUCAUUGGAUCACUUGAGAGGAGUUGAGUGCAACUCUCGUCCGUUGGGACGCCACAACGUGGAGUAGGCAAGUUUUGUACUUGGCCGAACCACGGGAUAACCACUGUGUCAUCUCUGUGAUUGGAUUCUUGUGGUUAUUGUGUUUUGACUCCUCUCUAGCCACUUGGCCAUACUUGUGCUAACCCUUAACAAGUUUUUGUGGCUUAAGUUUUGAAGUUUUACAGGAUCACCUAUUCACCCCCCCCCCUCUAGGUGCUCUCAGAAGUAAAGCAAGGAUUUACAUUGUGCUGGAAUUCGUUAUGGGUGGAGAGCUCCACGAUAUCAUUGCCACAAGUGGGAGACUGAAGGAGGACGAAGCGCGCAGAUACUUUCAGCAGCUGAUAAAUGUUGUAGACUACUGCCACAGGUUGUGUAUGUAAGUGGUGGAAAAGCUCAUGGAAGGUACACAAUGUUUGCUAACGUUACCGACUCGAGCCAGGUGAGGGUUCAGCAUGGAGGUUCAUCGAGGUCUGCUGCUCGUAGCUCCCGUCGCUCCACUCAAGAUCCAGCAGAAGUGGAGCAACUACGAGAAGAACUUGGUGACAUCAGGAUUACUUGAAGCAACAAGCUGCGCAACAUGAAUAUUAUGCUACACAGAUUCAGCAACAGCAAAACACUCAUACAACAACUAGCACAAGCCCAAGGGAUACACGUCCCGGUGCCCCCCACCUCCCGUUCAUUAUCAUUGGUCUUCACCUCCACCAAUACCUACAUCUCCAUCUACCGAACAUCAGGUAGGCAUAUUCAUCAUCAUUUACUUGUUGUUAGUUAUAUUAUGAUGUAACUCAGCAAAUGUCAUUUGUACAUGUAUAUUAGACCCCUCUAGCUACCUUGCCGACGCAUGAACAAGAGGACGGGUUAGACUUUGUCGAAACCCUCUUCAAUAGUGGAGGUAUCGACCAUCACUCUUCAUUGUAACCUGAUGGUGAUCGGCGACCGUGAGCUUCCAUGUUAUUGUGUUCUGAUACUUGAGACUUUUAUUAUGACUAUGUAUGAGAUAUUGUCUCUUAUUAGUA